AUGAAAGCAUAAAGGUGAAUUAUUCUUUAUUAAAGAAUUCAUUUAAAUUACUUUUCUUUGUAUCUUUGCUUUUUGUUUCUGUACUGCUCCAGUACUCCUGUGAACCAUGUCUGAGUGGAGUAAUGAUGGCACCACAGUCCAGCCUGCAUGGGUGUUGGCCUGAGUGCUCCCGCCUCAUGAAAUUCAGCCACCUCUUUCUCCAGUCAGUUCCAUAUUCUCAACUCCGACUGUCUUCCAGAGUCCGUGUCACACCACAGCCUGGAAACUCUCCCCAAGCAGUAACCUGAAGCAACAUUACUCCAUCAUUACUGUACCACCGCCUAUAUGGAUGUAAUUGUCAGUGUGAAGCUGAGUAAGGAACAACGUGCACCAGACUCACAGAGAAAAAUGGACAAGCGAGCUGGCCUUUGUAUCACUAAAGGGAAGGUCAGAUUGGUUUGGAAUAAUUCAUCAAUGUAAUCUUCUCAACCUGGUCAGUCACAUGAACUUCGAAGAUGAUUCCUCCCCAGCUGAUCCUUCAGGUUUGGAAUAGUUCACCAGUGAAGUCAUCUCAACAAGCACAGGGCCUUCACUCCUAACAACAAUCACAUGAAUUUGGAAGGGGAUCCUUCCCCAGCUGAACCUUCUUCGCUUGAGACCUUGUCCUUGGCCAUCAUCUGCAUCUGGAUUCAUGAUACAGAGAAACUUGAGUAAUGAUGACAAUGGCAGCCAUGCUGUCUCCCAUUCUUACCACCGGAUGUGAAGAAAUUCUAGAUGCGAUCCAGCCAAUCUGUACUCGACUCUCAGUUCCAUCUUCUCAACUCACAGUGUCUUCCAAAGUCCAUGCCACACCACAGCCUGGAAAAUCUCCCAAAGCAGUGUCUUGAGGCAAUGGUAGAGCUCAUGUCACAGCAUGCUGUGGUGUCAGGGAACACU